CCCUGGUCUGCCGCAGGAGACCCUGCCGAUGCCACUCAGGGUCAAGACUCUGGCGCGGUGGAAACCGCAGAGCAAAAGGAAACACAGACAAAAACAGUGAGAAGGAGAGAGAGCAUGUGGGGCUUUGCCAGAGAGGAACUUGGAUGGCAAUCACCUAAGAACUCCAAACUCAGUGCCAGGGCAGACUGGUGUCUAUUUUGGGAUGGCUCAAGUACUCAAAAGGCAGCACUAAAAUAAGGCUAUGUCUCUUCCUGAGAAUACUCUGGACUUCAUUCUCUGAUUAAAGAUCACAACUGCUUCUUCGUUGAGGAAAUCAUGUAUUUCAAAGCCACCAAUGAACAAGAAUGACAAUCCAUGAAUUACACAGUAAACAAAUACUAUAUGUAUGAGACCGAUUCACUGUCACAAACCUGGAGAAGAAAACCCUUUUGAGGUUUAAAGCUGAGAGGGAGAUAAAAACUUGGUUGUACUACUUCUGGGAAAUGCUGAAGUUAUCCACAUGAUUUUCCAGUCACUGAUUAUUUUAGCAAAGUAACACAAACAGAGGAGGAGCUCUGGACUCUAGCUUCUCAUUUCUAAAAGAACAGAUGUAAUGGGAUGUAUUGGUCCAGCACUGAUAACAGGUUAUCCUACAAUCAAGUAUACUCUUUCCAGAAAGCUGAGUUAGGUAUGUAACUGCCUUUCUAAGCCAUGACUAUAUUGCUAAAUGAAUCAUUGAUUUGGAAAAUCUGAAGUGACCUUCAGCUUGUUCUCCAGCUCUUCCUCAACAGAAAAGAGAGGCAAAAUCAGCAAAAUAUUGGAAAGAGGUAGUUUUUCUAAAGGUAUUUGUGGCAGGUAGAAGAUUGGAGGCCACUCAGCUAUGUGUGUAAGUGUGUGCAGGGAGAAAUUAGGUUCUAUAUUCAGAAGUGACAUUCUUUGUAUUUUCAGUGUGGCUCCAAAAACAGUCUUUUUCUUAUAGUUCAGAGUCAGACACUGCCCUUGGCUUCUCAGCCAUUCUAGUAAACUAUUUGUUACUCAGAAAGCCUCAAAUUCUUCAUUGAAUUUAUUUGGACCAGUUUUUGUGCACUUAUCUCGUUGGCAUGGUAAUAGUCUUUUGAAUAACCAAUACUGUGAACAAUUAUACAAUUAAAAAUUCUACUUCCAUUAUUAUUCUUAACUUCUCCUUUUAUAUUUUGUUACAGUUAUGAGGUAUGUUUUAUUAACUAUUCUAGACAUAGAUCUAGCCCUGCCUUUACUCAGCACUGCCUUGCUCCUUUUCAUGAGGGGUGAUCUAGUUAGACAUAUCAAUAUUCAAUGAAAUGUAUAGAUUACCCUGAUAAAAUGGCUCAAUGAAGUUCAUGUAAGGUCAAUGGAAGAUUAAGGCAUCAUAUGCACUGAGCCACUAAUUGGUCUCAUACUAGUAGGAUAUAGCUAUCCCCACCCCCCUAUAUCUUGAGUCUCCUUCCUCUUAGGUGCUGAGCAUUUCCAAAGGCUUCUCUAGCUGAAGCAGGUAUAAGAAAAUGAAGUGACAUAAAGCAUCAACCCUUAGGUAUAAAUGAUUGGCAAGUCUCAACCUUGCUAAAACUGAAAGACUUUUCAAUUAGCUAUGCUUAAAAAUUUCUACUGAAUUACUGAAGCCAUAAUUAUGUAUGUAAUUCAAGUUUCCUUUGAGCUGACCUACAAUGAAAGAAGUUACCUAGAUGACCUCUUAGGUCCUUUUCUCUCUCCAGCAAUCAUGGAUACUUUACGAAUCUCAUAAGGAGUACAGCUCAUUUAUUAUUAACACCAUUUUAGAAUGAAGGAAGAAGAGGCUUAGAAAGGUUUAGUAGCAGAGAAGAGAGCAGCCUUCUGAUUUGUGGGUUCCACAUUCUGGAUGCAGAAAACUUUCAGUCAUUCUUAUCUAUUGUGAGGUUUGUACCAGUUUCUCCAUAAACUUACAAAACCAAACCAUUUUGACAAGCUUUGUUCCUGCCUCUGACUUCUUUCAGAUAGUGGCUAACCAUCUUCUCAUGAUGAGUCAUUUUUGCUCUUCCUCAUUCCCUUCUUGAUGUUCAAGUAGGUGAACGUGAUGACUAUAAAAGGCAAGCAAUUAAUAUCUGGGGUUAGGCAGAGCUCUGUAAGCCAAUCUCCAAGACUGAGCAAGCUCCUUUGACCUUAACUGUAACCUUGGCACAUGAAAAGCAGCUUCCAUUCCGUUUUACCAACAUUUCGGUCAAAGAUCAAUUGCCAUUGUAAUUAUAUCAUAUAUCACAGGAUGGGGAAUCAGUGAGAGGGCAGGCCCUUUAAACUAAUACAUAUCAUUAGCAUUUAAAGAACAUGAAAAACAAAUUGAACAUUAGUCCUCAUGUAAGUCUUUUUUCUAGAGCAAAUAAUUUUCCAAAUUAAAAUGAAUAAAUUAAUGAAAUUGUCACAUGUCUGAGAAUAAACUAGGUUGGUAAUGCCGUCAAGCUCUUAGCAAAGUUUAGCUCAUUGUGCUUCUCUGUCUGAUCAUUAUAACAUCUAAUCAAGGGGAGCUUAAAUACUUCAAUGAGCUCUCAAAAUAAAUUUGAUCUGAGCAGCUCAGGUCUCAUGGAUUCCUAGGGUUACUGACUAGGUGAAACAUGUUUUUGUUUUAAUCCCUGUCUCAGCUCAAAGAGGAUUAAUGCCCAUAAUUCUCCUAUCCCCAUUUAAUUGAGAAAUGAAAUUUGAAGAGGCACCUCCUGGAACACUCCACUUUGAAAUAUGACCCAUCCACUGUCUAUAUAAUAAAUCUUCCUCUGCUCUCACACACUUAUCCACAUCCUUCCUAUCCCAAAGAAGGAGGAAAGAAAGUUAUUGUGUGUGUGUGUGUGUGUGUGUGUGUUUCUGUGCAUCUAAUCCAAAACACACAAUGUUGUUGUUUUGUUUUUCAAUUUUGGAAUUAUCCUAAUAAAGGCAUUCUCUGGGAAGCUCAGACUGCAUCUCAAACUUUCUCUGACACUAGCAUCCGCAUUGGAACAAAUAGCCCUUUCACUAAAAGCAAUACAGUUAUUGCAUUCAUGUUAUAUGAUUGUAAUUUUCACUUUUGCUUUCAAUACAACAUUAAAAGAAAAAUUGUCUAUAGGAAAGAAAGAGGCAAUAUACUAUAUCCUGGAACUAAUUCUUUGGCAACUGUAAAAAAGGGGGCCAUAAUUCUGAAUAGAGGCUCCUGUCCUAAAACAGACCCAAUGCUAAGAUCUAAUAGAAAGGGCACAGAGAAGCAUAAGGAAACUUAAUGUCACUUUCACGUUUUUUGUACAAGUUGAUGUGAGGAUCUAAAGAGGCAAUUUCUGUAAAAUGCCUAGUAGAGGACCAGGCAUAUAGUAAGCCCUCAGCAAAUGCUGGCUGUUAUCAUUAUGUUUUAUAAAGAAUUUUUACAUCUUCCUCCUAAGCCCUGAGGCUUCAUAACGAAGCCUUAUAUAUGACUCUCAAUGGCUCAAUGUCUUUCCUAACCUAAUGUAGAGAGUGACAUACCAUUGCUUCCAACAUAACCUAUUGGUCACAUGGACCAACAUAAGACCAAUGUGGGAUGACCCUGUACAUAAGGGUAAGAAGCAGGCAUCACUUGGGGCCAUCUCGAAGGAAGGUGACCACAACUGCCUAAUGGCAGUUGAAUCCUUUAUCAAGCUACCCUCAGUAACACUUCAGCUUUCAAGGACCAGGUUUUUGUGACUAUUGUGAACAGGAUUUCAGUGAAUGAAGAUAUAUCCCAAAAUAACAUUUCACUUAAAAGUUGAAUAUCUGUUAUCAAUUUACAAAUGCUUUUAUAUUAUAUCUCACUUGAGCUUCAAAAUAACCUUUUAAGACAGACAAGAGUAGAAACUACUCCAGUGAUUUCAUAGAUAAGGAAACUGAAGAUCAGAGAGACUUAAUGAUUAACCUAAGAUUUAAACUAGAUAUCCUCCUAGCAUUCUCAUGGCACUUAUUCUGCUAGCGUAGGCUGCCUUGUAUAUUUUUUAAAUGACUAUCUGUUUAUGUGCUGGUCAUGGGGUUUGCAGCAAAUCACAAGUGUGUAAUUUUUUUUUCUUAAAGGCAUUUAAUCUACUUUCUAAAAAUCACUAGAAUUCAGAAACUGAUACUACUUCUUUUGUUUCAUUAUUUGCCUCCCUGCCCCCAACACUCAUACAUAUUUAGAGACACGCAUGGACACUCAUGAACACACAUAUUCUUCUUUCUAGUCCCUUAUUAAUGGCAAACUAAAGUUAUUUUAGAAUAUACUAGCUGUCAUUGUGCCACAGAGAAACCUCUCUUUCAUGCAAAUUGAUAUAUGUAUAUAAUCAUACAUGUUUAUAUAUAAACUUUGUAGCUUUCCUCCCUCUUUUCUAAAAUAAAUUACGAAAGGUUGUAUGUUCAGGCUUCACGCAGAAUUUUUCAUUUGAGGGAGACUUUUUCAACCCUUUCUAUUUGAGUUGGUAGCCAUUUAUGUGAAGAGAAAAUGAAUACUAAUGGAAAAUCCUAGAGUGGAUUUGGAAAAUCAUUAUAACAGUUCUGCUAUAUAUUUGGGCCUUUGACAAAACACCCAUUCAAGGAUGAAAAAUCCACUAUUUCUCUUCUGCAUUUCUUUUUCCGAAUACAGCUAGAUUGAAUAACAGGCCAGAUAAAGGAUUCAGAACAAUUGCUUUACUAAGUAAUAGUGAGCCCAUGUUCUAACCAAUGGGACAGAAACUGACCCUCUGUAUCUCUGACACAGUUGCCUUUCAUUGACAGAUUUACAGUGGAGGGGUUGGGAGAGCAGAUGAAUUAAAAAAAAAACAAAAGCAAAUCAAGAUCCCCCAUAAAUUUCACGAUCCCCACAUCUUCCACCUCAGCACCUAUUAGAACACCUUACUCUUAAAUUCUGCACAUGCGGAGAUUUAUUUGUAUCCCAGAGGUUUGCUCAGAUGUUUCCUCUGUGCUUUCAAUGCAGGCCCACCCUUUUCUUUCUUCAUAUUAAAACCACAUAGAUUCUCCUUGAAGCCUUCUCAACUGGUAAUAAUCAUUUACAUCCUUGCUAGUGCUUAUGAUUUUCAAAUUACUUUUAGAUAAUCUAACUCAGCGAUCUCCACACAACCUUAGACACUUAGCCCGGCAAGUAUUGUGCUUUUGCUUUCAUGGAUGAGAAAAAGGAGACUUGGAGUGCUUUGAUUAGCAAACAAGGUUACAGAGCUAAAAAAGGAGUGACACUGGAGUAGAUCCCAGCUUAAAUGAAACCCACUGCUUUACCUGCCCCUAUAGCCUGCAUGAUAUUUCCCUAUUCUGAGUGCUUGGAGCUCUUGGAGUCUCUUACAUCUAAUGUGAUCAUUAAGAGGUACUAACUGUCUGAUUGCUUCUUGUGUGCAGCUAACUCACUGGUGACCCAGCACUUUGGGAGGAUGAGGAGGGUGGAUCACAAGGUCAGGAGUUCGAGACCAGCCUGGCCAACAUGAUGAAACCCCGUCUCUACUAAAAAUACAAAAAUUAGCCAGGCGUGGUGGCAUGCACCUGUAUUCCCAGCUACUUGGGACACUGAGGCAGGAGACUUGCUUGAACCCGGGAGGCAGAGGUUGCAGUGAGCCAAGAUCGUGCCACUGCACUCCAGCCUGGGCGACAGAGUGAGACUCCAUCUCAAAAAUAAGUAAAUGAAUAAAUAAAAAUAAAAUAGAUUGAGCCUCCACAUUUUGCAUGCAGCUUUCUUGGUGCUUGUCCUUCUCCUGUGCUUACUCAAAGAUGGGACAUUGUGCACAAUGAGAAGAGGAUUGGGACCAGUAGGGAAGAAUGAGUUAGAUAUUGUGGGCCCUCUUUUUUUGUUUGUUUGUUUGUUUUUUUUUUGCUCCCAGAAAUCUUUGAGAUUUUAACCUGAAUGGAAAAGACAAUAUGAGGGUGAUGAAAGACUCUAGAUGGUCCGUCUUGGUCUUUGAAAGAUGCUGGAAUAUAUGCCUGCUUGGCCAAUUAGUCCCCAAUAACUAUUCAGUGCCAUAGUACUGUGUGUAGAGAAAACCUCAAUGAAAAGAAAAUGGACAAUCAAGCUGGAUAAAAUACAUCCCUUAAAUGAGAACUAUGCUAUGUGAAAAAAAAAUAGAAGAACAAGUCCUCAGCAAGUCAAUGAUCAUAAGAAAAACAGUUAUAUUGACAAGUUAUUUUGUGUGUUUGAUGUACAAUAUGGAGAAAUAUUAGUAGCCAAAUGAAUGUGACACAUUGACACAGAUGCAUUGUAAAUAUUAUGCUAUUGAGACCAUAGAUUCAGUUACAUUCCUCUGAUGAAUGUGGAUGCUUUCAUUUCCUGUUUUAGAAGGCAACUAACCUGAUUAAUAUCAAACUGCAAGCUCUGCCUUGUUUGCAGUAGGUGACUGCUCAAAUUGUAGUUAUUUUAGCCUCAGCUCUGAGAUAAUUUGUUUCUGUCCUGUUUUUCCCCCAACAAGUAUGGUUCAAGGUUCACAUACAGACUUGGCCAGAGUUCAUAUGCAGACUUUUAACUGCCUUCUUCCCAGGAUUUCCUCUCCAUUUUUGGGGUGGGUGGGCAGUGGGGUGCUGUGGUUGCACUGGGUCCUGUCAUCUGGUUCUUACCAACACAAAAUAUGAAGGUUUUUAAAGGAGUUUCAGUUAUUCUAAUUAUCCUGUACCUUAAGUUGUCUUUCUAAUACCUAGUGCUGGUUUCUUCUAAAUGUCAAAUCUUUUACAAAAACUGUUCUGUCUCAGGAAUUGUGUGUGUGUGAUUGUGCAUAUUCAGACUUUAUAGUUGUUACCUGCACGACUGUCAGUCUAGUAGGAAUUCAUUCCAGCCUACUAGAAGAAAAAGUUUAUAUAUCAAUUUUGCAGAAAAAUAAUCCAAAUUGUAUAGGAUAUUACUCAAAAAGAAAACUUCAGAAAAGUUGUUUAAAUUUAUAAUCUUUUAGUUUUAAGCAAAUAUUUGUUAAACAUGCUUACUUCUCAGUUAGUGGAACAGAAGAAAAAAAAUGUAAUGUCAUCCCUGAAUUCAGACACACAACACUUAAGAAAUUACAUUCAAAACAUAGGUGCUUUAACUUGAUAAGUACUUUAAAUGCAAUGCUAUAUCCAUUGUUUUCAAUGAACAUAGCAACAUUUUACAUGCACAAUAUAAUAAUGUGGUAAUUGCCAGAAAUAGUCCCUUUUUGCAAAUAUUUAAUGUAAUUCUACAGGAAAAAAUUUUAAGGCAGUAAAAUAAAAUGUAUUUCACGAUCUGCAAUGAUGUGUACCUUACUUUAGCCUUUUACUGCAACUAACUUCAGCAAAUAAAAUUUGGUGAAUAAUCUGUAUUUUCUUCUUUUCUUUCUUUUUUUUUCUUGUAAGCCUCUCUCCCUUCCUGUCUCCAUUCUUUCCUACAAGGAAUAUUGGGUAUUUAUUAUGUGCAUGGCACAUUCUAAAGCAGUGAAGAUGAGACAGUAAAUAUUUCAGGGACAGUAUCA
rnacentral:lncRNA from 1 species